rnacentral:rRNA from 1 species
UACAGAGGGGGCAAGCGUUAUCCAGAUUUACUGGGCGUAAAGCGCGUGUAGGCGGCUGGUUAGGUGUGAUGUGAAAUCUUCGGGCUCAACCCGAAAACUGCAUUGCAAACCGGCCUGGCUAGAGUGCAGGAGAGGGAAGCGGAAUUCCAGGUGUAGCGGUGAAAUGCGCAGAUAUCAGGAAGAACACCUAUGGCGAAGGCAGCUCUCUGGGACGGUACUGACGCUGAGACGCGAAAGCGCGGGGAGCGAACAGG